rnacentral:rRNA from 1 species
GUGCCAGCAGCCGCGGUAAUACGUAGGUGGCAAGCGUUAUCCGGAAUUGUUGGGCGUAAAGCGCGCGUAGGCGGUUUUUUAAGUCUGAUGUGAAAGCCCACGGCUCAACCGUGGAGGGUCAUUGGAAACUGGAAAACUUGAGUGCAGAAGAGGAAAGUGGAAUUCCAUGUGUAGCGGUGAAAUGCGCAGAGACAUGGAGGAACACCAGUGGCGAAGGCGACUUUCUGGUCUGUAACUGACGCUGAUGUGCGAAAGCGUGGGGAUCAAACAGGA